GGGGGGUGCGAGCGUUGUCCGGAAUCACUGGGCGUAAAGGGCGCGUAGGUGGCGUGAUAAGGGUGUGGUGAAAGCCCGGGGCUCAACCCCGGGUCGGCCAUGCCGACUGUCAGGCUAGAGUGCUGUAGGGGCAGGCGGAAUUCCGGGUGUAGCGGUGGAAUGCGUAGAGAUCCGGAGGAAGACCGGUGGCGAAGGCGGCCUGCUGGGCAGUUACUGACACUGAGGCGCGACAGCGUGGGGAGCAAACAGGAUUAGAUACCCUGGUAGUCCACGCCGUAAACGAUGGGUACUAGGUGCCUGGGGGAGCGACCCCUUGGGUGCCGGCGCUAACGCAGGAAGUACCCCGCCUGGGGAGUACGGCCGCAAGGCUG
rnacentral:rRNA from 1 species